rnacentral:tRNA from 3 species
GUGCGUAUAAAUUAAUGGUAGAUUUUCAGUCUUCCAAACUGUUCGUGCGAGUUCGAAUCUCGCUACGCACU